AGUGAACGCUGGCGGUAGGCCUAACACAUGCAAGUCGAACGGCAGCACAGAGGAGCUUGCUCCUUGGGUGGCGAGUGGCGGACGGGUGAGGAAUACAUCGGAAUCUACUCUGUCGUGGGGGAUAACGUAGGGAAACUUACGCUAAUACCGCAUACGACCUACGGGUGAAAGCAGGGGAUCUUCGGACCUUGCGCGAUUGAAUGAGCCGAUGUCGGAUUAGCUAGUUGGCGGGGUAAAGGCCCACCAAGGCGACGAUCCGUAGCUGGUCUGAGAGGAUGAUCGGCCACACUGGAACUGGGACACGGUCCAGGCUCCUACGGGAGGCAGCAGUGGGGAAUAUUGGACAAUGGGCGCAAGCCUGAUCCAGCCAUACCGCGUGGGUGAAGAAGGCCUUCGGGUUGUAAAGCCCUUUUGUUGGGAAAGAAAUCCAUCUGGUUAAUACCCGGGUGGGAUGACGGUACCCAAAGAAUAAGCACCGGCUAACUUCGUGCCAGCCGCCGCAGUAA
rnacentral:rRNA from 1 species